GUGACAGCCCUGGGAGCUGGCAUCCUUCUUUUAGCCACAGAACAGGUUCAGCAAGGGGCCCAGCAAUGCAAUCUUCACAAUCCUUCCCUUCCUCUUUGCCUUAACCUGAGGUGUACAGACCAGCUCUUGGAGAGGAGAAAAGCAGUUCAUGUUCAAAAGUCAUUCUUUCUCUGCCCUCU
ensembl:misc_RNA